rnacentral:rRNA from 1 species
UACAAAGGGGGCUAGCGUUGUUCGGAAUUACUGGGCGUAAAGGGCGCGUAGGCGGCUUCGCUAGUCGGGCGUGAAAUGCCUGGGCUUAACCCGGGAAUUGCGUUCGAUACUUCGAGGCUAGAGUGUGGGAGAGGUUGGUGGAAUUCCCAGUGUAGAGGUGAAAUUCGUAGAUAUUGGGAAGAACACCGGUGGCGAAGGCGGCCAACUGGACCACAACUGACGCUGAGGCGCGAAAGCGUGGGGAGCAAACAGG